AUUGAACGCUGGCGGAAUGCUUUACACAUGCAAGUCGAACGGCAGCACGGACUUCGGUCUGGUGGCGAGUGGCGAACGGGUGAGUAACAUAUCGGAACGUAUCCAAUAAUGGGGGAUAACGAGUCGAAAGAUUCGCUAAUACCGCAUACGCCCUACGGGGGAAAGCUGGGGACCUUCGGGCCUGGCGUUAAUGGAGCGGCCGAUAUCUGAUUAGCUAGUUGGUGAGGUAAAGGCUCACCAAGGCGACGAUCAGUGGCUGGUCUGAGAGGACGACCAGCCACACGGGAACUGAGACACGGUCCAGACUCCUACGGGAGGCAGCAGUGGGGAAUUUUGGACAAUGGGCGCAAGCCUGAUCCAGCCAUUCCGCGUGAGUGAAGAAGGCCUUCGGGUUGUAAAGCUCUUUCGCAAGGGAAGAAAACUUAGCCACUAACAUUGGUUGAGGUUGACGGUACCUUGAUAAGAAGCACCGGCUAACUACGUGCCAGCAGCCGCCGUAA
rnacentral:rRNA from 1 species